rnacentral:tRNA from 1 species
GCCCAAGUGGUGGAAUGGUAGACACGCUAGUUUCAGGGACUAGUGGCUGCAAGGCUGUAUGAGUUCGAGUCUCAUCUUGGGUA